rnacentral:rRNA from 1 species
GCAUAUCAAUAAGCGGAGGAAAAGAAACCAACAGGGAUUGCCUUAGUAACGGCGAGUGAAGCGGCAAAAGCUCAAAUUUGAAAUCUAGCACUUUCAGUGUUCGAGUUGUAAUUUGAAGAAGGUAUCUUUGGAGUUGGCCCCUGUCUAUGUUCCUUGGAACAGGACGUCACAGAGGGUGAGAAUCCCGUGCGAUGGGGAGACCAAUUCUAUGUAAAGUUCCUUCGAAGAGUCGAGUUGUUUGGGAAUGCAGCUCUAAGUGGGUGGUAAAUUCCAUCUAAAGCUAAAUAUUGGCGAGAGACCGAUAGCGAACAAGUACAGUGAUGGAAAGAUGAAAAGAACUUUGAAAAGAGAGUGAAAAAGUACGUGAAAUUGUUGAAAGGGAAGGACUUUUGAUCAGACUUGGUGUUUAGUACUCUCUACUCCUUGUGGGUGGGGCUCUUGCUUUAUACUGGGCCAGCAUCGGUUUGGGUGGCAGGAUAAUGGCAUUGGAAUGUGGCUUCAUUCGUGGAGUGUUAUAGCCUUUGUUGAUACUGCCUAUCUAGACCGAGGACUGCGUCU